GUAUCUUUUUCCAGUAUAUUAUUGUGCUGGGGAGAUUUGGGGCUUCUCAAUAGAGUGCCCUUAAAGCUAUAGCUUGACACUGAUCGAGUGCUAGAGCGUAUGUAUUUGAAACUCUCUGAGUACCUGUACGAAACUCUACGCGUAAGCUCGCGCUGGGCCAAGUCCACCAAGGAGGUUCGCAAGAACCCGAA
rnacentral:misc_RNA from 1 species